ensembl:lncRNA
AGUGAACUCAAAAUGUUAAGACAGACUGGUUACUAUUUUUAAAAUUGUAUUUAGAACAAUUUUUUUAUAGUAUGCAUGUACAAUACUGUACUUAAUGCCACUAUACUCAUACAUAAGCAUAUUCUUUUAAUUUUUUUUGCAUUUUUUUCAGUCUGUUUAAAUGUUUUCUUGUCAUUGUAGGGAUAUUCUAGUAAAAUGGAUGUGGUCAGUCCCAGCCAAAUCUGUUGUUUUCUCAGCAGUAGGUCAGCUGUGCAUGUGAAAGUCUCUGUUCUCUGUUCUUUUUUUUUAUUUUUUUUUACAGAAUCUCACUUCAGGUUCUUGGCGGUGAUUAUCAUGACAUGUGUGGGAAUGCUAUUCUUUGUGUGCGUGUUCAGUUUGGUUCAUGUACUCAAACGGAUCAACAGCUGCAACCUGUCAGUUUCUGCCUCCUACAAUCUCAGAGACAAUCAGAAAUCAGACCCAGAACAUACAGAGGAUGACUAUGUGAGAAUGAAACCUGGUGUGGGUCGGGUUCACUCACCUGCAGCCGAGGAUAAAAAUUCACCUUCAUCAGAACCUUACUCGAGCCUACCCACGCCUCAAACAGGUGCAACGGUGGCCAACAUGAGCCGCCCUGAGAUAGACCCAUACUAUUUAGAUCCAUUCCCUGUAAUAAAUACGGAUCUAGUUUCAGAAUACAUAGAUCCAAAUGCACACAGACUCGGCAGUGUGUAUGAAAACCUCAAGGCCGAUUCUAUCCAAGAGCCAGUCUAUCAGACCGUAGACCUCACAUAAGGCUAAUGUAAAAGCAGUUGCUGGUAAUGUUGUUUUGGUGGUAUUUUAUUUUAUGGUACAGUAAGGACCUGAUAUGUAAUAAGUAAAGCUGUAGCAGGGCCAUUGGCUCAGUAUGUAAAGGUCCAGGGCUCAGUCCAGUUCAUUGUAGGGUUGUUUUGGGGUCUCCUGAUUCAGGUAAGAAUGUGAGGAUCUACACAUCAACAAACUUGCAGGAAUUCAGCAUUCGGCAUUCGUUAUUGUUGUGUUAAAAAGAAAGCCGUAAAAAAGAGGGGAAAAAGGUGAAAGUGUAAAAAGUGUCCUAAUGCUAUUCUUAAAGUCCUUUGACAAUAUAAAGACCUCUUUCCCCACAUCCACCAUCACUUCCCCAUGUCUCCUCUCAAAAGUCCUGCUAACAGAGAAACAAUGUAUCUUUACUUUUGUUACUUUACUGGGAAGUUAUAACGCUCCAUAAACAAUCAGUACAACUGCUCGUAAAACCAAACUAGAAUAUUUAUAGCCAUGUUUAUGAUGCCUUAUGAAGGCAUUAUAGUGUGUUCAUGAGUUUUCUAGACAUGGUGUUAUGUGGCAGCAGGGAGGCGGACCCAAGUGCAGAGAGGAAAACCCGGGCGAAAGGGUCUUAAAUGAAUUUAUUGAGGUGACGGAAUGUAAAUUUGGCAUUGUAAAUGUAAAUUUGCACAUUGGGGUUGAGGUGGCUAGAGCCAAGGUCAAGAGGACUUAUCACUGCGCCACCGGGAAGCGCAGACAAAACACCUCAAUGAAUAAUAAAAUAAUAAAAAAUAAAAAAAAGUGGGGAAAAGCAAACAAAGGGGACGCUGAAAGCAGCAUGCUCUAACAAAGGCAGAGUAUAAAUAAAACACUUCCUCUGUGAUUAUGAGAGGAAGAUCAAUUUGAUCUUUCACCGGUUUGUCUAAAUACCUACCUGGGCUAAAUACUGUAUCGGUCACCCUGUUUGCCACAGUCUUAAGUAGAAGAGUCCAUGGGUGUGCCAGGUUGGGCUUAAUCAGCCCAAAGGCUUCUCGGAAUUGGAGUUCCCUGAAAUUAUGGCAGCUCACCACCAUCGCCCUCUGUUGAUAGCCAGUGGUACUGGCUGGGCCCUUAUACAUGGUAUUCAUUGAAAGUGUUGCCAUCACUGUGUCAAACAAAAACAGCACACUAAAUAUUGUGAGGGUUUUGAUGAGCACUGUUUAUCCCAUCCAAACCAGACAAUGGCCAACAAAAUAUUUGAUUUCAGGUUGAUUUAUUUAUUUACUUAUUUCAUUUUUUUGGAUGUACAACAUCAGGAAAAAAUGCUUAUUUCCAGACAUUUCAUUCACUCAUCAUGUUCUCUCUUGCUCUCUGUCUCUCUCUCUCUCUCUCUCUCUCUCUCUUUUUUUUUUCUCUCUUUCUCUGACAUUAUAGUCUGCGUUUGGAAUAUCUCUUGUUCAUGGAAUGGGUGAAUGUGAAUUUCUGUACUGGAAUAAAGUUAUUCACUCCAUAUUAGUCUGUACUUCUCUGUCGUCAUACAUGUAUAUGUCUACUGAAAUGUUUAAUCAUGAAAAGCAGAAAUAUACCUAGAAUUUCUCACAUUAAUUCCUUGUACUUACAUAUU